rnacentral:snRNA from 1 species
GUGCUCACUUCAGUAGCUCACUUUGGAAUGAUACGGAGCAGAUUAGCAUGGCCGCGCAAGGAUGAAAUUGUCUUUUCUUUUAAAAUCAAUUUCUAA